CACACCAGAAACUAACACAACAUUGAAAAUCAAGUAUAUUUCAAUUAAAAAAUAAAGUCACAUAAAACAGAUUAGAAAAUUUCAUGGGCGUUUCCUUUGUGGCUCAGCUGGUUAAGAAUCCAACUGGUAUCCAUGAGGAUUUGGGUUCCAUUCCCUUGCCUCACUUAGUGCGCUAAGGAUCCAGCAUUGCUGCAAGCUGUGCUAUAGGCCAGCAGCUGCAGCUCUGAUUUAACCCCUAGCCUUGGAAUUUCAUAUGUCACAGGUGCAGCCCUAAAAAGACAAAAAGAAAGAAAAGAAAGAAAGAAGGAAGGAAAGAAAGAAAAAAUUUCAGAGGGCAUCACUUGUGGUGAGAUACACUUACAUGGAAAUCUGGAAGCAGCAACAUGGUAUGUAUGUCUUUGGGUUCAAAGCCCUUUGACACCUUUAGAAAGCAUGAGAAAAUUGGGUUUUGUUUCUUUUAAAUUAAACUCAAGGAGAAAGACUGGACUGAACUUUUAAAAAUUCCAUUCUGGUAAUUUAUGAAAUUUGAUAGCACAAACUGAGUCAGGGCUGUGGUCUUUAGCCUCCAAAAUCACCUCCCUACAUUUCUCUCCUGUGCACACACCACUUCUCUACCUCUGGUCAGCUCAUAAGUUCACUUAGAGCCACGUCGUAAGACUUCCAACCCUAGGCCAAAUAGAAAUGGAAAAACAAGAAAAAAAAAGUAAGGAAAUGUACAAGGGUGUAGUCUACUAGUGCAGUUGAUAUUAACAAUAGCUGCCUUUGACAUUAGAAUGAACGGUGCCUCAUAUUUUUCCUUUGGGUCAUAAUUCUAUUUUUAUUUUAUUUCUUAAUUUUUUUUUUUGCUUUUUAGGGCCACACCGCGGCCUAGGGAGGUUCCCAGGCUAGGGGUCGAAUCGGCACUACAGCUGCCGGCCUACGCCACAGCCACAGCAACACGGGAUCCGAGCCGAGUCUGCAACCUACACCAUAGCUCAAGGCAACACCGGAUCCUUAACCCACUGAGUGAGGCCGGAGAUCGAACUUGCAACCUCAUGGUUCCUAGUUGGAUUCGUUUCUGCUGCGCCACAAUGGGAUCUCCCAUAUUCUAUUUUUAAAAACCUGUUUGAUGUGUGAAUUUUAAAGUUAGAUGGCCCUUGAAGUUACUCACUAAUGUUUACUUCAGAGACUUGAGUCCAGAGGAAA
rnacentral:lncRNA from 9 species